rnacentral:rRNA from 1 species
CCAGACUCCUACGGGAGGCAGCAGUGGGGAAUAUUGCACAAUGGGGGAAACCCUGAUGCAGCGACGCCGCGUGAGUGAAGAAGUAUUUCGGUAUGUAAAGCUCUAUCAGCAGGGAAGAAAAUGACGGUACCUGACUAAGAAGCCCCGGCUAACUACGUGCCAGCAGCCGCGGUAAUACGUAGGGGGCAAGCGUUAUCCGGAUUUAUUGGGUGUAAAGGGUGCGUAGACGGAGAAGCAAGUUAGUUGUGAAAUCCCUCGGCUUAACUGAGGAACUGCAACUAAAACUACUUCCCUUGAGUACUGGAGAGGAAAGUGGAAUUCCUAGUGUAGCGGUGAAAUGCGUAGAUAUUAGGAGGAACACCAGUGGCGAAGGCGGCUUGCUGGACGAUGACUGACGUUGAGGCUCGAAAGCGUGGGGAGCAAACAGGAUUAGAUACCCUGGUAC